rnacentral:rRNA from 1 species
GGUUUAAUUCGAAGCAACGACGAAGAACCUUACCAGGUCUUGACAUCCCGAUGCUUAUUUCUAGAGAUAGAAAGUUACUUCGGUACAUCGGUGACAGGUGGUGCAUGGUUGUCGUCAGCUCGUGUCGUGAGAUGUUGGGUUAAGUCCCGCAACGAGCGCAACCCCUAUUGUUAGUUGCCAUCAUUCAGUUGGGCACUCUAGCGAGACUGCCGGUAAUAAACCGGAGGAAGGUGGGAUGACGUCAAAUCAUCAUGCCCCUUAUGACCUGGGCUACACACGUGCUACAAUGGUUGGUACAACGAGUUGCGAGUCGGUGACGGCGAGCUAAUCUCUUAAAGCCAAUCUCAGUUCGGAUUGUAGGCUGCAACUCGCCUACAUGAAGAUGGAGUUGCUAGUAACCGCAGGUCAGCUGUACUGCGGUGAAUACGUUCCCGGGGCUU